rnacentral:rRNA from 1 species
UACGUAGGGUGCGAGCGUUGUCCGGAAUUAUUGGGCGUAAAGGGCUCGUAGGCGGUUUGUCGCGUCGGGAGUGAAAACACCGGGCUUAACUCGGUGCUUGCUUUCGAUACGGUCGAACUGGAGGCCAGUAGGGGGAUGCGGAAUUCCGGGUGUAGUGGUGGAAUGCGUAGAGAUCCGGAGGAACACCAGCGGCGAAGGCGGCAUCCUGGACUGGUCCUGACACUCAUGAGCGAAAGCGUGGGGAGCGAUCCGG